AAAAAAAACAUAGUGAAGAUGGGUAGAAGAUAAAAGCUGGUUUUGAAAAUUCAGAGAAUGGUGGGGUUAGAAAAUUACCAGCUUUUAUCUUCUACACAUCUUCACUAUGUUUUUUUUU